GACGAACGCUGGCGGCGUGCCUAAUACAUGCAAGUUGAGCGAUGAAGAUUGGUGCUUGCACCAAUUUGAAGAGCAGCGAACGGGUGAGUAACGCGUGGGGAAUCUGCCUUUGAGCGGGGGACAACAUUUGGAAACGAAUGCUAAUACCGCAUAACAACUUUAAACAUAAGUUUUAAGUUUGAAAGAUGCAAUUGCAUCACUCAAAGAUGAUCCCGCGUUGUAUUAGCUAGUUGGUGAGGUAAAGGCUCACCAAGGCGAUGAUACAUAGCCGACCUGAGAGGGUGAUCGGCCAAAAUGGGACUGGGACACGGCCCAAAAUCCUUCGGGGAGCAGCAAGAGGGAAACUUCGGCAAUGGACGAAAGUCUGACCGAGCAACGCCGCGUGAGUGAAGAAGGUUUUCGGAUCGUAAAACUCUGUUGGUAGGGAAGAACGUUGGUGAGAGUGGAAAGCUCAUCAAGUGACGGUAACUACCCAGAAAGGGACGGCUAACUACGUG
rnacentral:rRNA from 1 species